GAGAGGAGGCAGUGUUGUCAUGCAGAGCUCACAUCUCUAUCAGCCAUCAAUGCCCUCUGAAAAGCAGAGUAAACCAGAGUUUGACGGAGACAGAAAGUUGGAGUCACCUUCUGCUGUUGGAACCGUGACAUGGAGGGCCAAAGAGAGGGCAGUGAGGCUCAGCGGGGCCCCUGUGAGCUUGGCCUCGGGACAGAUGGCAGUUGCUGCAGGAAGGCAUCUCUUUAUUCGCAGUUUGGACAGGAGGAUCACAUUGACAAAUACUCUGCAAUAAACAUUUACCAU